rnacentral:rRNA from 1 species
UACGUAGGGUGCGAGCGUUAAUCGGAAUUACUGGGCGUAAAGCGUGCGCAGGCGGUUCGUUAAGUUCGUUGUGAAAGCCCCGGGCUCAACCUGGGAACUGCAAUGGAAACUGGCGAGCUUGAGUGUGGCAGAGGGGGGUGGAAUUCCGCGUGUAGCAGUGAAAUGCGUAGAGAUGCGGAGGAACACCGAUGGCGAAGGCAGCCCCCUGGGCCAACACUGACGCUCAGGCACGAAAGCGUGGGGAGCAAACAGG